GUGCUCCCUUUGGCAGCACACCCACUAAAAUUGGAACCAGACAGAGAAGUCUAGUGUGGCACAGGGAUGACAAGGACAUUCACGAAGGGUUCCAUGUAUUU
ensembl:snRNA U6 U6 spliceosomal RNA